ACAUGAAUAACGACUUUCAAUAGAUAAUUUGGUAGGAUUGUAAAGAUAAAGUUCAUCAUUUUUCUGACAGUCGACUGCAGCAGAAAUGCCAGUUGUUGUUUUUCCAGCGUUACUUGGCCAGUCAGUUAUUGCAGAAUACGAAAUCAUCAAACCAUUCUUCUGAAGGUAGUAGACACCAUCAUCUUUUCUGGUUCUUAUAUAUGCAGAAAUAAAAUAUAAACCGGGAAACUCACAUACAAACUUCCCAGUCGACUUGAAUGAAUUAAUAUCAUUUAUACCAGUAUGUGUUAGUAUGUUUGGAAAACUGGCAAUACCAUUUGAAAAAGUACCUCCAUUGGAAUAGGCUGUCAAUGCGACU
rnacentral:lncRNA from 1 species